rnacentral:antisense_RNA from 1 species
CAGCACUCAAGGUCUCUUCUAGGUGUUCUGCCAUGAAGGGAGUUGAAUUCUUCACUUGCUGGUCAACCUUCAAGCCCUUCAGACCUGCUUCUACCUCCUCCACUGAAAGCACAACCCCUGAAUGUGCUGAGAAGUUGAAAAUGUCCAGGUUAAAUCAAGCAAAGAGAUAGCUGUCCCGCAGGUCCUUAUCGCUAAGACGGUGAUCCUUCUCAAAGGUCCGGGCAGAGAUUAUCCUCCCACUGCCAAUCCUACGUCCACCAAGCAGACGAAGCCCAUCACUAUCUUUCUCUAAUGGACUUCCUGAGCGCCGGGAGCUAACAGCAGCUGUCACGUGGCAGCCCCCUCCAAAGCUCCGUCUCUGAGGGCUGAGAACGACAUCUAAGUCAUCUUCUUUCACACGCUCUCGUGGAUCUGGAAGGACGUGGGAAAGACAAAGGUAAACAAACCAACAAGGGUGUUUUCUUCUUUUUUAGAUAGUAUGUCCAUGACUGAUGGGAGGA